rnacentral:tRNA from 1 species
AUAGCUCAGUGGUAGAGCACGUAUUUCGCAUGUGCAAGACCCUGGGUUCAAUUCCCAGU